rnacentral:tRNA from 1 species
GGGGAUAUGGCUUAGUUGGUAGAGUGCCUGCCUUGCAUGCACAAGGCUGGGAGUUCAAUCCCUAGCACCA